rnacentral:tmRNA from 1 species
GGGGGUGUUCCGGAUUCGACCGGCCCGGUCAGGUGUUGACGGCAUGUCGAGGAUGAUCGUUGGCCUCGUAAAACAUCGGUCAAAACGAUAAACGCGAACGAAGAGUUUGCUCUGGCUGCUUAAUGUCGGCCGCGUCUUGCCUCUGACGGGUACUAAGAGGAUUUAGGCGUCAUCGAGUAUCCUGGCUUCGGGGUUUUGCCAACCGGCCCCGGGCGAGAUUUCAGACUGGCUAGUCCGGAUGCAGGCCUGCCCAUCGGCUUCGCGGAAGGACGAUAAAAAUCAAAGAUGGAAUAAGCAUGUAGAAGUCUUCAUUGCGCCUCGUCGGCACGCGGGUUCAACUCCCGCCACCUCCACCA